rnacentral:rRNA from 1 species
UUAUAAUUAAAAAAUUAAUUAAUAAGAAAGUAAAUGAAUUCAUUAAAUUUAAAUAAUUUGGCGGUAUUUUAAAUAGUUAGAGGAAUUUGUUAAAUAAAUGAUACUCCACGAAUGGAAAGACCUAAUAUAGUUUUUAUGUAUUGUUGUAAAAAAAUUAUUUUUUAAGAAUAAUAAUUGGAAAAUUAAAUUAAAUUUAAAUUCAAAUCAAAAUGUAGAAUUGUUAGGAUUAAAUGAAUUACAAUUUAUUUUAUUAAUAUCAUUAAUUUUUUAUUUAAAUUAAUGAAAUAGGAUUUAAAAGUAAAUUUAAAAAAAUAUUUAAAUUGAAAUAUAAAUUAGAAUAUG